rnacentral:snRNA from 1 species
AUUCCCUCUAUGUGUUGCCUCUUUUGAUAACCACUCUCUGUUCUUAUUAGCUUAAUAUGUCAUACGCAUUCUAUUUGUAUCCAAGAUAAUAAACUUAUUUUUGCAAUGCGGAGCAGUGCUUGGCGCUCUCUUCAACACCGCCAUGGGUUGGCCCGGUAUUGCACUAUCUCCGGGAUAGGCCCACUCGCC